rnacentral:rRNA from 1 species
GACGAACGCUGGCGGCGUGCUUAACACAUGCAAGUCGAACGGAAAGGCCCUGCUUUUGUGGGGUGCUCGAGUGGCGAACGGGUGAGUAACACGUGAGUAACCUGCCCUUGACUUUGGGAUAACUUCAGGAAACUGGGGCUAAUACCGGAUAGGAGCUCCUGCUGCAUGGUGGGGGUUGGAAAGUUUCGGCGGUUGGGGAUGGACUCGCGGCUUAUCAGCUUGUUGGUGGGGUAGUGGCCUACCAGGGCUUUGACGGGUAGCCGGCCUGAGAGGGUGACCGGCCACAUUGGGACUGAGAUACGGCCCAGACUCCUACGGGAGGCAGCAGUGGGGAAUAUUGCACAAUGGGCGGAAGCCUGAUGCAGCAACGCCGCGUGCGGGAUGACGGCCUUCGGGUUGUAAACCGCUUUCGCCUGUGACGAAGCGUGAGUGACGGUAAUGGGUAAAGAAGCACCGGCUAACUACGUG